AUAAAAAUCUACGCUGACCAUACCUUAGAUCAAGUGUAGUCUUUACUUAUCAGUUUAAUAUCUGAUAUCGGCUCACACGAUAUUAAAUUAGUUUUUUUUUUUAUGGGGGAGUUCCCACCACAACAGCAAGCUGCUGGGGUUCUCAUGCAUCGCCUCUGUGUUGCACUACUGCAGAGGCCUGGCGCACCCCCA